rnacentral:lncRNA from 1 species
GCUAAAAGCUGAUUAGUUUAAAAAGAUCAGUAAGGUAAAAUUUAAACUUGUUAACUGUUAUUACUCUAUUUUUCAAUAAUUGAAAAAUGAUUUUUAACUUAAUAAUUUUAGUAAUUUAAAAAAUUCAUACUAUUUUUUUCUGUUUGAAAAUGGUUUGGGUAGCUUAGGUUUGGGAUCAUUACAAUUGUUCUCAUUAAAACUAAUAGAAAAAAAUUUUUUUCCACCUAACGGCUUUUCCCUGAGCUUUCAG